UCUGAAAAAGGUAGGGGACAGAGCUGUCGUUCGUUCACAGUGCAGUCGGAUGAUGUGGAGAAAGACAGGCUCUUGGGGCAGGGAUAUGCUUCGGAAACUGGAUGUAGUUUGCAGUUUGGGCGCUGGACAGUUUGGCGGGGUUUGAGGGGGAGAAGGGGCUCAGCCAAGGUGCCUGUUAUUCGGAAGUAAACCUGUAGAAGAGUUGCUGGGAAGCAGCCUCCAUACUCCGGAGAUGGAGACGACACCCACAGGUAUAGGAAGGAAAGGGUCCGUCACCGCCUCCUUGACACCCCAACGCAGAUGGUCUGUGCUUCUUCGGGGGAGAUGCACUUCAGACUUGGGGCUCUGGGGAGAGGAACUUAACCGUCCUCCUCCAAAAAGGUGGACAUGGGUACUGGAUCCACAAGGAAAGGGUGGGCAGAACAGAAUAAAGGCUUUCUUCGCUUUACCAUCAUGUCUGAUCAGAACACAACUCUAGGCAACAAACGCUGUCUCCUGUGAGACAGAGAGCACAUCACUCUGUUGGUGCUUAAAAUAAAGAAAAACCAGAAUAAUUAUCCCAUCGAUAAUAAUACUAACCCAGAGCACUGAGCGCAUACUCUGGCUAAAGAUGUUGUGAGCAUUGUGGUAGAAAAUAAAUAGCUGUGAGCCACUGCCAUCCACAAAAGCAUAACACUUCAUCAACAUAAAUGACAUAUACCCAGGGUGUUCCCCCCUUUUUUCAUGCAUGAUUCAAUUCUUGUCUAGUUUCUUUGGCUCUUCAUUAGUGACCCAUUCUCUGUCAGGCUCCCUGCUCAGCCUCCCUAAAGCCACUGUGCUCUCACCAAUCCAAAAAGUUUCACAGGUACCGUCACUGUGUUUUAAAACCUCUUUUGGAAAUGCCAAUAUGUAAAACAAGUGACACGCUGUGUAAGAGUGUGCACGUGAUAUCUUUAUGCAAUUAUAUAGAACACUUGCUUUUCUUAAUGUGUUGUCUGUCCAAGAUGGUGACUCAUUCUAUCUCUGUGUCUUUUCUCCGUUUCUGUCUCCGUUUCUCUGUCUCUUUGUCUCUCUCCUUCCCUCCCUCUCUCCUCCCCCUUUCCUCCCCCCUCUCCCUCCUCCUUUCCCUGUCUCAGCCACCCUCUCUCUCUCCCCCUCUCCUUUCCUCCUCCCAGCUCCUUCUCUGUACAAAUACACCCCAGUCAGUCUUGUCUCGGUUCCUUCCUGUUAGUGUUCAAUAAUGGUUUUGCUUGAACUUUGUUAGGCAGCCUCUGACUACCAACAGGGAGUUGGAGCUGAUUGGAAGCUUUUAACAAGAUGCAGCUGAGCGUGUCGAUAUCUUACAUCUUUUUACUGCUCUAUGGGCUGCUCAGCUACUUGAAGCUCCUCACGACUUCAGACAAGCACUGGCACCUUCCAGAGACAGUGUUCCCAGGCUUGAUUUACACUCACUGUUACAACUAUCCUUUGGUGCCCUCUGGAAACACAUGGGACACUGCAGGUAAAGGAAGAGUGAGUGUUGAUCAGAAGCCCCUUCCUGUCCCUUCCCACCUUUCGUGUUCAUUGUGGUUAGUUUCAUAUAAUGAUUUUGUUGUUGGUUCUUGUCUUGAAAAACAGAACUGAGACAGGACUAAGGCUCUUUGGAUGAUUGUACCAAGUCUUAGGAUUUAAGGAAGUUUAUCUGCCUACCUAUCUGCUCUUUCUGGAAUUUUUACUAGGAUGUAUAAUUUCAAUAAAUAGGGAGGUGUGUAUGUCUUUAUAAUGCUUUUGCUGUAUGUUUCCUUUUAAAAAUCUUUAAAUUGUCUGUCAAUGAAACCUGUGUUAAAAGAACCAUAAUGUGAAAUUGAAAUCAACAAAACAGAAAAGAUGUGAAAAGGUGAAGGAGCACUGCCUGGAACAGGAGUCUGCAGAAAGAUUACUUUUAUCUGGUAAUGUUUCUUCAUUUACUACAUAUUAAUUUUGCUUUGUUGUAUUUAAGCUUAUUAUUGGUUUGAAUAGUCUGCUGUAAGUGGAAGAAAUCUUGGAAUUUACAUUUUUUUUUUUUGAUUUUGGAGUAAAUACCACUUCCCUGCUUCAGUUUUUAAAAUGGGCUUAGCAAAGCAUCAGUAGCAAAUCUACAACAAUGAUUUCCUGUUUUAAUAUAUUUUUUAAAUAUUUUAACAGCAUCAUGAAGAAACGUCUUCAUUAUACAGCACUCUGUGUUGUAGAAUUUAGUAGACAGCGGAAGAAAGCAAGUAGCAGGGUAGUUAUGAAGCUAGGAAGAGGAGGAAGCCUGCUGGAAGAGACUGUGUGCUCUCAGAGGAUACCCUGAUCCUCCCCAAGGCACCCACCCCAGUCAUCCACAAAUUCUUCUGCUGUGUAUUUCUCCAAAGCUGUGCUGAAUAUUCUUCAUCCUUCUCUUUGCAUUCCCAGCUCCAGAUCCACAAGGAACUCAGAAUCUUGGGGAUAAAGUUUGAGGACUUGUGGCAUCCUGGUUUCUCCUGUCCUACUGGAUUCUCUUUGUUAGUGGGAGAAAGGCCAGCCAUUCUCCAGUACAUUGGACAGCUCCUUUCUGGCAGUGGCUGUGUUUGCUUAGGACGGUCUUGCCACCACCAUGCAUAGCCCUGCCAUAUAUGCACUUCCUUUAUAGCAUAUUCCUUCUGCUGUUCACUAGGGCUGGAAUUAUGGCCCUUGGACUCCAUCAUCAAUUCCUUUAAUCCAGCAGCCUUUCUGGAAAAUAUUCUUCAUUAUCUAAAUUUGGUUUAGAAUUACUUCUAAUUGAGACUUCUUUUUCCUUACGAUACUUGGGAUAUCAUAUUUGUAUUUUUAAAUACAAAAUAGUCAAGCAUGAUAUGCACUUUUCCUAAUUAUUAUAAAGUUUAACAAAUAUAUCAGCUACUGUGUACAGAAGUCUGAAAAGAUUAUCGUGGCUCCACCUGAAAAUAAUUUUAACACAAUGUCAGAAGAUACUAGAAGGUAAGAUAAUUUAAUUGUAAACCGGAGUGCACUAAGAGAUGCAUAGAAGGAGCCAGGAAGACAUCAUUUCAUGGUUUGUAUGCAAGGUAUUUCCAAUGGAGAUUAGCAUGUGAAGCAAUAAAUCAAGUCGGGAUCACAUGCACCACUGUGGUUGGACAAUCAUCCAGUUAAGGCCUCAAAAACAACCUGUCCUUGGACAUCAGAACUUUAAUUUGAGGCCUCAGCCACCAGGACUCAAGCCUUUAGGCUCUGGCAAAUUUUCUGGUUUUUAUAUGUCUGAAAUAUCCAAUUCUUCCCUCAUGAUCCACUUAAAAUUCUUUCUUGGAGCUUCUUGGCCCCCAUAAUUGCAGAGUGUUUGUGCACUUGGUUUUGUUUCUCUAUAGAACCCUGAAUAGUACACAGAAGAUCUUUAUCUAAAUUUAGAGCAUAUCAAUGUUGUCCACAGAGUUGUCACAUCUGUAUACUAAAUGAGCCUAAUGCAGCAAAUUUUUGAAAAUGUCCUAUGUUUUAUGAACAUAUAUCUUCACAUUUUUAUCUCAUUGCAAAAUAAGAAUGUUGGAUAAUUUGAAGCCUAGUGUUUAUUAUCUGACUAAGCAAGCCACUGUUUGUUAAGGCGCUAUGAUUUUCAUCUGUUUACAUACUGCUUCAGGAAAACCACAUGGGUCCAUUCCUUUAAUUAUUUUUUAAAAGCCAAAGAUGAUCAUGUAAAAGUGAACUCAAAUUACCAAUACUAAUUCUUAAAUCACUGUUCCAUGUGUAUACAAUAGAAUGAGCCUAGUGGGUCACAGAGACUGAUGUGACAAGCACAGGACCAACAAAGUGUGCACCAGAUGGUCUGCACACACAUUAUGGUUAUUAGCUUCGUGUUUUGUGGGACUCCUAACAGUGGAAACAGGUGGAUCUCUACUCUUUACCCUGAUCUUGGGACUCAUUUCCUCCUAUUGGGUUGACUUGUCCAGCUUCCAAUAGGAGAGCUUUUGCCUUGUUUUAUUGUAUCUUGUCUUGUUGGGUUUGGCAGUCAUCUCUUGAGGCCUUUCUUUUUUCUGAGAGGAGACAGAUGGUGAGUGGAUCUGGGAAGUGAGGACUUGGGGCAGGGAGCUUGGAACAAUGGAGGGAGGGGAAAUUGUAUUGUAUGAGAGAAUAAUCUAUUUUCAAUAACAAAACAAGGGAUCCAAUUGAAUAUGCUCUUUUAAGCAAAAUUUUCCCCAAAAAUAAGUAAAUUAAAACAGAUGACAUCGAAUUCUUAAAUAAAUGAGAAGUAUAAUUUUAUAAAGAAUAUAAUAUUUGAUUUGGGUUAUUUUUUAUUUUAAAAGUAAUAAAAUGUGUCAACUGCAAGAUUCUUUGUAUUUAGCUGUGCUUAGUUUAGGUAUUAUAAAUUUCACUUCUGAUCCUGACUACUUUUGAAUUUUAUUUGCCAGAUAUGGCAUGAUAAUGGGUAAGUACCCCACUUAUAUCAUUCAGUCAUGUGAGCAGCAUUCUAAGUUUCAGAUUGAAGAGUUACAGUUCUGUGGUAGUGUGCUUGCUUAGUAUAAGCACAAAAUUAAUGCACAUAUAGAUGAAAAAUAAGUUUAUUUAUUUCAGCUCUUAGAAAACUGAGGUUUUCUAGCUGGGUUAGGUCUCACAGAUCACAUAAAUAAAUGAAAUGCGUACCGCAACAGCCUGUCUCUUGACUCUCUCUUCUAUGUUAUUCAUCUGCUUCUUGUUGUUUGUGCCUAUUCUAUCUUGGAUUUGGGAGCUUUUGAAAUGUUUUACAUAAACUAGAAAUUUGUGAUAGGUUAAUGUUAAAAUAUAGGUUGAAAACAGAAAAAAAAGUAUUUUUCUAUAAGAACUGAUUUUCUACUUUUCAAGUAAGUCACAGUUCGCUAUUCCAUUUCAGUGGCCUUGCAUAUUAAUUCCAUAUGAGAAAUCAUUUUGGUUGGUCCCAUAUAAAGUUUAAUUUCAUUAUACAGUUUGUAUUCAGGAAAGGAAAUAACUUUAUGAUUUUAGCUACAUUAUUUGUAAGCCUUUUCCAUCACCAUAAUUUAUUUUAUAUGCUAAUUUCUCUUUUUGGGUAACUAUUUCCUUAUAUUCACAUGAUUUUAUUUCCCACUUUACUUACAAAUAAAGAGAAUAUAAAAUCUAUAAUAGCUCACCUGUCUUUUACAAUGAACAAUAAACCCUUCUAGAACUUUCAUAGGCAUGCCCUCUAUUUCAGAGAACGACAAAAUAUUUUCCAAGUCUUUGUUUUUAGCCUUUUGUUCAUACACAAUGCUAUUGUGGCAGGGAAAAUACAUUUGCAUUAGCAAAGAUUUUAUAUAUAUUUGAAAUAUUUAAAGUUGUGAAUUUUAAGGUAUAAUCAAAAGGAAGAGUUGUAAAACAAUAAAAUUAUAGAAACUGUUUUUUAGCUUUUGAUAAUCUGUACCUAAUAAAUCAAUUGGAAUAUUUUA